UACGGGGGGGGCAAGCGUUGUUCGGAAUUACUGGGCGUAAAGGGCUCGUAGGUGGCCAACUAAGUCAGACGUGAAAUCCCUCAGCUUAACUGGGGAACUGCGUCUGAUACUGGAUGGCUUGAGUUUGGGAGGAGGGAUGCGGAAUUCCAGGUGUAGCGGUAGAAAUGCGUAGAGAUGUGGAGGAACACCAGUGGCGAAGGCGACUCUUUGGCCUGUAACUGACGCUGAGGCGA
rnacentral:rRNA from 1 species